CACACACACAACACGGCAUGAAUGUGCAAUCAGUCAAGUGAGGUGAAAACCCGACUGUAUGUAAAUAAAGGAUGUGGAAGUGUAUCCGACAGCCCCCCUCCAAAAAAAAAGGGCUGUGUGCCUGCCUGCACAGUGGGCGGGCGUGACAAGCAGGCUGAAGCUGCGGGCAAAAGACUGCACAGAUGAAGCAGAAAAGUGUGCUAUUUAGCACCGCGCGCCUGUCUGUGCAUUUUAAACACGAGCCAGACUCGCAGUCGCUCUGGCACACAACAACACGUGGAUCGAUAUUUGUGUGGAUGGCGCACAAACCAACAGCUCUCAGCUCAGCGUGUCCUUCAGGAAUAUGGCGAUGCGGAAAGGAGAAUGAGGGCAGUUGAAAAACAGAUUGCUGCAGCCAAGUGAAGAAUGCGGCGCACAGUGGUAAGCUACAGUCAAUAUAACAUAAUCAUCGAUAAAUAUGACUAAAAAGGGAUUGUCUGAUGUGAUGAAAUAAGCGAUUUCCCACUGUUUCAAUGGAAAAUGACGAGUAGUGUCGAGUUCCUGGUUGCAGAGCACACCGCAGAGCAACACAAAGAGAAAUAAAGCUUCCCUGGGCUGGCCCUGUGCAGCCUCGCAGCGGGGACAUAUGAAUUGUUUUGACAUCCAUCUUUCCCUUCCUCCUCCUCCUCCUGCAAACUAUUGCAGAGUCACAAUGCUCUGGCUUCCAGCUCUUUUAGAUAUAAUUCCACGACAAUUUCCAUAAGCGCUAGCUGGGGAAUAGGCUGCACAGACAUGAAAAACAACCGGUCCCCUUGCACUUUGCUAUAUGUCAGAGGAAAUUGAUGUCUCCAAAAGUUUGCGGCUACCUCAUGCAUGCCUAAAGGUAAGAAAAAAAAACAAUAAAAAAUUCGAGUGGCACGGUGGGAACUGUCUCAUAGGUCACUACAAUAUAUGAAUUCGCGGACAAUGUCGACAUACCAAGGCCCUUCUACAGUACGUCGAAAGGUUUAUUUACACUUAGUGUCUUAUGUUCUCGUUACAUUAGGUUUGACAUUUGGGGGCUUUUUUGAUUUCGGAUCAGCAGGGAGCCACUGUUGAUCUAAUUGUGCACCGAAGUGGACACAACACCGGGGAGGUACAAUCAAGCGCAACAAGAUAAUGAAUGUAAUAAUUAAAUCUGCUACGUUUGAUCAGGCACGAUACAAUACAUCUUUAUUUAUAUCACGCUUUCACAAUAGCUGCAGCAAAUCUUUAUCCGGCACCUCAUACUAGAGACCCCAAAAUGUUUUCUGUCUUUGUCUGCCUCUUCACUCCCGAUUCCUCUUCCCAGGAAUGGAAAUGCGUCACACAUAAAAUGACGACAGUACGGGAUUGAAAAUCUCGGUUUUGCAAUGCAAAAGUUGUUUUCCUCUUGCUAUGAGAUACGUCUCUAUGCUGAGAGAGAUUCUGUGAUUGCAAAGUCAGCGUUUUAAAAUGAUGUGCAACGUUACUGUGUUGUAUGUGAUUACAAUUAAUGAUAAAUGGUUCUCUCCUAUGCGGCUAUGUAGCAAAUGUGCCAUCUAUGAACUUUUUUUAAUCAAUAAAUGUGUUUCCAGACUUCAAAA